AUGCCCAUGGCGCUGCCCCCACCGCCGCCACAAGGGCGUCCACCUACGGCACAGCUAGGCAGGGAUCGCCGAGCCGUGGAAGCCAUCCGUGCUGAUGGGUCCAAGAUGAAAGUGCUGAGGGAAUACCGUCGCACACGGGGACUCUGCUUCAAGUGCGGGGAACGUUGGGGGCAGGAGCACACCUGCCCCACCAGCGUUCAGCUCCACAUCGUCGAGGAGCUGCUCGAGCUAUUCGACGUCGACUAUACAGGCGAGCUGUCACCUCAACAACAAAGUGAUCUUCCGGCUAAGACAGCUAUGGCGAUCUCCAGACACGCCCUCACCAGAGGAAAUUCUCUAAAGGCCAUCUGUCUGCACGCGUGGGUACAAGGCCAUGAGGUUCUAAUGCUGGUAGAUUCAGGAAGUUCCACGUCUUUCACCGACGCUCGUCUGGCCGUUGCUCUUGCGGGCGUGGUACCACUUUGUCGGCCAUGCCGCGUCAAGGUUGCUGACGGGGGCAAACUCUGUUGCGUAUCUCAUAUACCACGGUGCAGCUGGGUGACGCAGGCUCACGAAUUCAUUACAUAUAUGAAGAUACUUCCAUUGGGAGCAUACGACACCAUCCUUGGAAUGGACUGGCUGGAGGAGCACAGUCCCAUGAGUGUGGAUUGGCAAGGAAAGCAGUUGCUGAUUACAACGCCCCGUGGCCCUGCUCACUUGCAAGGCCGUCCUGAAGGUGUUGGUGCCUGUUCUGAGAUUAAUGCACUACAGCUUCAGUCAUUCCAAAAGUAA
rnacentral:rRNA from 1 species